rnacentral:rRNA from 1 species
UACGAAGGGCGCAAGCGUUAUCCGGAAUUAUUGGGCGUAAAGAGCUCGUAGGCGGUUUGUCGCGUCUGGGGUGAAAGUCCGGGGCUCAACCCCGGAUCUGCGGUGGGUACGGGCAGACUAGAGUGAUGUAGGGGAGACUGGAAUUCCUGGUGUAGCGGUGAAAUGCGCAGAUAUCAGGAGGAACACCGAUGGCGAAGGCAGGUCUCUGGGCAUUAACUGACGCUGAGGAGCGAAAGCAUGGGGAGCGAACAGG